GCGAGUGAAGAGGGAAGAGCCCAAGAUUGAAAGCUGGCGUCUUCGGCGUCCGCAUUGUAAUCUCAAGAAGUGUUUUCCGCUUCGGACCAAGCCUAAGUCCCUUGGAAAAGGGCAUCAUAGAGGGUGAUAAUCCCGUACAUGGCUUGGAGCGCCCGAAGCUUUGUGAUACGCUUUCUAAGAGUCGAGUUGUUUGGGAAUGCAGCUCAAAAUGGGUGGUAAAUGCCAUCUAAGGCUAAAUAUUGGGGAGAGACCGAUAGCGAACAAGUACAGUGAUGGAAAGAUGAAAAGAACUUUGAAAAGAGAGUUAAACAGUACGUGAAAUUGCCAAAAGGGAAGGGUAGGAGGUCAGAGAUGCGGCCUGGGAUUCAGCCUUGCUUUUGCUUGGUGUUUUUCCCAGAUUGCAGGCCAACGUCGGUUUUGGGCACUGGAGAAGGGUAGGAGGAACGUGGCACCUCUCGGGGUGUGUUAUAGCCUCCUACUGGAUACAGCGACCGAGACCGAGGACAGCAGCGUACUCGCAAGAGCGGGCCUUCGGGCACCUUUACGCUUAGGGCGUUGGCAUAAUGGCCCUCUACCACCCGUCUUGAAACACGGA
rnacentral:rRNA from 1 species